rnacentral:rRNA from 1 species
GACGAACCGUGCGACCGUUAUUCGGAAUCACUGGGCUUAAAGCGCGUGUAGGCGGGACGGCACGUCUGUCGCUGAAAUCCCCCGGCUCAACCGGGGAACGGGCGCGGAUACGACCGUCCUGGAGGGGCGUAGGGGGACCUGGAACUUCCGGUGGAGCGGUGAAAUGCGUUGAGAUCGGAAGGAACGCCCGUGGCGAAAGCGAGGUCCUGGACGCUUACUGACGCUGAGACGCGAAAGCCAGGGGAGCGAACGGG